AUUAUGUAUACUUUACCAAAAUUUUAAUUCCUUCAGUUUUAAGGGUGGGCAGUUCGGGCUGGUGGCAGGUUGGGCAGUUGUGAGUGUCUGUGUGAUGGCGAGGAAAGCGGAAGUUACGAAUGGAAUGCAGGUAGCUUAGGACCGAGGCAGACAGCUUAGGACCAAGGGAGACAGCUUAGGACUGAGGCAGGUAGGCAGUUGGCAGGAAUCAGUGGGGGGCACUUGUCAUUUCGGCCAUGGGAUUCAAAAUUUGCAUGCCGAGUAUUUGUUACUAAUGCUUGUUGUUUUACAUUUGCUAGGUAUGCGCGUGGCUGCUCUCAAGAGAAGAUCGACUUAGCAAUUUGCAUUAUUUAGCAUUUGCUAGGUUGGUCUUCUCUUCGCCUCGCUACCCCGGCUGGCUCUCCGAGUGCUACCUCUACUUUAAGUAGAAGUACUUUUACUGCAUAGUAGAAGUGCUUCUACUUGAAGUAGAGGUAGCACUUGGGGAGCCGGCCGGGGUAGGGGAAUUUUUUUUAUUUUUUUUUUCAAUUCCCAUGGGAAUUGAAUUUUUAAUUAAAAAGGAGUCUCUUGUAUAAUUAAUGAACAAUUUAUUGAAAAGAAUUGUAAUUACAAAUUGAAUACCAAUAAAAAGAGAACAACCACUGCAUACUUAUUUAAAUAACAAUAGAAGAAAACAGAACAUGGCACAAAGAGAACAAUUAACAUUGUGUUUAACACAAGUGAAUAAGCACAAGUGAAAACACAACAUUAAAAAAACUUGCUUGCCCACGAAUUAACAUUAAAGUUAAUUCUUGAGGAAACAAGAGAACCUGGUCUUUUCAAGAUAAAUGUUUAUACUUCAAACUAAAUA